CCGGGGGCGGAGACACUGCGCCUACAAAGACACCGACGGCUGCUACAUUUGCCUUCGGUGACCUUACGAUCUCUCCGCGUAAAACGCUAUUUUACAUCAAAGCAGUCCUUUGCUUGAUGGUUUGGUAUAUGACAAAUAGCCGACCAGCCUGGCAAGAGCACUUUGACAACUGGAAGCCUUCAGCGCAUGCUCUCCCCAAGGAAUCAUGGGGUUUGAAGUCUUACCUACAGACAGCAUUGCACUGCUGCUUCCUGAAAGGAAGAGCGCUCCAAAGGAGAAAAAACAUACGUGCACACUCCCUCUUCCCAGGGAAAACUGCUGCAAUCUGAAUCAUCAGCUCUGAGGAAAUAUCUGUCAGACUGAGCUGAACGUGACUAACUAAAUAUGAGCUUUUAAACAGUUUGAUUUAGAAGCCCAGAUUAAAUAGCCACCUAUUCAGAACAACUGCUAGACAAAGGAAUAGUUCCCGUAUUUCCCUUACAAACUCCUAGCAUAAGAAAUUAAUUAUAAGCUCAUACCAGCUAUAAAAUUUAUAGCUGUUACAAAGAAAACUGUGUCAUGUUACUUAGCUGAAGAAUAUAUUAAUCACGUGUCAUAAUACAUUAAUCACGUGUCAUAAUUUCUAAAUAUAUUCUGAAACUCAAACACAAAUAGGUCAAGUAUGAACAUUUAAAAACAAAAUCAGUACAUAGGUGAAAAGUUGUACUAUUGGAAUAGUUUCCAGUUUUCAAGUUACUACUUUUUCAUUACUGAGUUGUUACUAUACUGAAAAUUCUACCAAAAAAUAAUAAGCUGCUCUGAAGAAAAUCAAGGUGUGAAUGUUACUAUUUAACAUUCCAUCUAUCCUGUACAUGGUGGUGCCACACUUGACCUCCCUCCCUUUCACUACACACCAUCUACAUAUCUCCAGCCUCCACAUCAACACCCAGCCUCUCACAAGAUAUUAAUACUGUGAUCCUUAAUGUAGAUCAGGUAAAAUUUUCAGAAUUUCAUUCACUGGCACUUUGUGUUCUGUUUUGCACUAGUCCAUGAAUUAUUCUGCAUGUUUAUUCUGGGUAAUUCAUAAUACUAAUUAUUCAGACCAAAUAGUAAUGCACAUAAGGAAAUACAUAGUUGAAAUCUGAAGUGUGAAAAAAACAGUGUUUAAUAAAAGUGCAGGCUGAUUUUCCAAGGAUGAAAUAUGCAUAAUUCUGUGUGUCAAAGAGAGAUGACUAAAGCUGAAAAAAGUAAAUAAGGGCAGUUGAAAGUGAGUUGUCCUAACACUUAUGUCUCUGCUUUCUGCACUCUGUUUAUGUUGGGCUGUAUGGUCUGCCUGCCCUAAAUCAACACUGUAAUUAAGAGUUUCUCAACACUUGCUCUAACCUGUUUGUGCUACUCUGAAUCAUUAAAGGCAGCAAAACUGUUUUCUUACAGCA